rnacentral:tRNA from 1 species
AGCAGAGUAGCAUAACGGUAAAUGCAUUCGAAUCAUAAUCGAAUAGAUGAAGUUUCGAUUACUUCCUCUGCUA